rnacentral:lncRNA from 1 species
CUAGAUCGAUGGGAUAGAGAGUCAUUCUACUCCAUCAGACAUCCUAGCAGAGCUCCAGCCGACAGAUCUGAACUCUCUGGCAAGUCAUGACAAUGGCCACUACCCUACUCCACUCUCUGCAAUGGAUUCUGCAUGGCUCCACCACUCUUUGGCAAGUCACGACAACGGACAUCACUCCACUCUUCGUAACAAACUCCACGUGGCCCUGAACAUCCCUUGACGCCACUACUCUCUGUAACAAACUCCGCACGGCUCUGAACGGCCUACUACCAGAUGGUUACAGACAUCGCUGUCAAUCAGUUACACUCUCUGUCUAUAAAAAGGGAUCCCCAGAUACGUUCUUCUCUAAGCUCUGAACUCUAUCUCGAAACUCUGCUAAAAUUUCUGCUCGAGCACUCCAUUUUUGUUGAAGUAGAGUACUGACUUGAGCAUCAG